GACGAACGCUGGCGGCGCGCCUAACACAUGCAAGUCGAACGAGCGAGAGAGAGCUUGCUUUCUCGAGCGAGUGGCGAACGGGUGAGUAACGCGUGAGGAACCUGCCUCAAAGAGGGGGACAACAGUUGGAAACGACUGCUAAUACCGCAUAAGCCCGCGGUGCCGCAUGGCACAGAGGGAAAAGGAGCAAUCCGCUUUGAGAUGGCCUCGCGUCCGAUUAGCUAGUUGGUGAGGUAAUGGCCCACCAAGGCGACGAUCGGUAGCCGGACUGAGAGGUUGAACGGCCACAUUGGGACUGAGACACGGCCCAGACUCCUACGGGAGGCAGCAGUGGGGAAUAUUGCACAAUGGGGGAAACCCUGAUGCAGCGACGCCGCGUGGAGGAAGAAGGUCUUCGGAUUGUAAACUCCUGUUGUUGGGGAAGAUAAUGACGGUAC
rnacentral:rRNA from 1 species